UACGUAGGGUGCAAGCGUUAAUCGGAAUUACUGGGCGUAAAGCGUGCGCAGGCGGUUGUGCAAGACAGAUGUGAAAUCCCCGGGCUUAACCUGGGAACUGCAUUUGUGACUGCACGGCUAGAGUGUGUCAGAGGGGGGGUAGAAUUCCACGUGUAGCAGUGAAAUGCGUAGAUAUGUGGAGGAAUACCGAUGGCGAAGGCAGCCCCCUGGGAUAACACUGACGCUCAUGCACGAAAGCGUGGGGAGCAA
rnacentral:rRNA from 1 species